UGAGGAAUAUUGGUCAAUGGGCGCAAGCCUGAACCAGCCAUGCCGCGUGCAGGAUGACGGUCCUAUGGAUUGUAAACUGCUUUUGUACAGGAAGAAACACUCGGACGUGUCCGAGCUUGACGGUACUGUAAGAAUAAGGAUCGGCUAACUCCGUGCCAGCAGCCGCGGUAAUACGGAGGAUCCAAGCGUUAUCCGGAAUCAUUGGGUUUAAAGGGUCCGUAGGCGGCUUAAUAAGUCAGUGGUGAAAGCCCUACGCUUAACGUAGGAACGGCCAUUGAUACUGUUAGGCUUGAAUUAUUAGGAAGUAACUAGAAUAUGUAGUGUAGCGGUGAAAUGCUUAGAGAUUACAUGGAAUACCAAUUGCGAAGGCAGGUUACUACUAAUG
rnacentral:rRNA from 1 species